GUAGUCCACGCCGUAAACGAUGAGUGCUAGGUGUUAGACCCUUUCCGGGGUUUAGUGCCGCAGCUAACGCAUUAAGCACUCCGCCUGGGGAGUACGACCGCAAGGUUGAAACUCAAAGGAAUUGACGGGGGCCCGCACAAGCGGUGGAGCAUGUGGUUUAAUUCGAAGCAACGCGAAGAACCUUACCAGGUCUUGACAUCCCUCUGACCGCUCUAGAGAUAGAGUUUUCCUUCGGGACAGAGGUGACAGGUGGUGCAUGGUUGUCGUCAGCUCGUGUCGUGAGAUGUUGGGUUAAGUCCCGCAACG
rnacentral:rRNA from 1 species